rnacentral:snoRNA from 1 species
GCCUCUGAGGAUGAUCACAAAAAAAACUUUCGUUCUUCUGAGAUAUUCCAUGCGGAAAAAAAUUGGAGACCUGAACUGAAGAGGC